rnacentral:misc_RNA from 1 species
GAAAUGCGAUAAGUAAUGUGAAUUGCAGAAUUCAGUGAAUCAUCGAAUCUUUGAACGCACAUUGCGCCCGCCAGUAUUCUGGCGGGCAUGCCUGUUCGAGCGUCAUUACAACCCUCAGGCCCCCGGGCCUGGCGUUGGGGAUCGGCGGAAGCCCCCUGCGGGCACAACGCCUCCCCCAAAUACAGUGGCGGUCCCGCCGCAGCUUCCAUUGCGUAGUAGCUAACACCUCGCAACUGGAGAGCGGCGCGGCCACGCCGUAAAACACCCAACUUCUGAAUGUUGACCUCGAAUCAGGUAGGAAUACCCGCUGAACUUAAGC